rnacentral:rRNA from 1 species
GACGAACGCUGGCGGCGUGCUUAACACAUGCAAGUCGAACGGAAAGGCCCUGCUUUUGUGGGGUGCUCGAGUGGCGAACGGGUGAGUAACACGUGAGUAACCUGCCCUUGACUUUGGGAUAUCUUCAGGAAACUGGGGCUAAUACCGGAUAGGAGCUCCUGCUGCAUGGUGGGGGUUGGAAAGUUUCGGCGGUUGGGGAUGGACUCGCGGCUUAUCAGCUUGUUGGUGGGGUAGUGGCUUACCAAGGCUUUGACGGGUAGCCGGCCUGAGAGGGUGACCGGCCACAUUGGGACUGAGAUACGGCCCAGACUCCUACGGGAGGCAGCAGUGGGGAAUAUUGCACAAUGGGCGGAAGCCUGAUGCAGCAACGCCGCGUGCGGGAUGACGGCCUUCGGGUUGUAAACCGCUUUCGCCUGUGACGAAGCGUGAGUGACGGUAAUGGGUAAAGAAGCACCGGCUAACUACGUGCCAGCAGCCGCGGUGAUACGUAGGGUGCGAGCGUUGUCCGGAUUUAUUGGGCGUAAAGGGCUCGUAGGUGGUUGAUCGCGUCGGAAGUGUAAUCUUGGGGCUUAACCCUGAGCGUGCUUUCGAUACGGGUUGACUUGAGGAAGGUAGGGGAGAAUGGAAUUCCUGGUGGAGCGGUGGAAUGCGCAGAUAUCAGGAGGAACACCAGUGGCGAAGGCGGUUCUCUGGGCCUUUCCUGACGCUGAGGAGCGAAAGCGUGGGGAGCGAACAGGCUUAGAUACCCUGGUAGUCCACGCUGUAAACGGUGGGUACUAGGUGUGGGGUCCAUUCCACGGGUUCCGUGCCGUAGCUAACGCUUUAAGUACCCCGCCUGGGGAGUACGGCCGCAAGGCUAAAACUCAAAGGAAUCGACGGGGCCCCGCACAAGCGGCGGAGCAUGCGGAUUAAUUCGAUGCAACGCGUAGAACCUUACCUGGGUUUGACAUGGAUCGGGAGUGCUCAGAGAUGGGUGUGCCUCUUUUGGGGUCGGUUCACAGGUGGUGCAUGGCUGUCGUCAGCUCGUGUCGUGAGAUGUUGGGUUAAGUCCCGCAACGAGCGCAACCCUUGUUCACUGUUGCCAGCACGUUAUGGUGGGGACUCAGUGGAGACCGCCGGGGUCAACUCGGAGGAAGGUGGGGAUGACGUCAAGUCAUCAUGCCCCUUAUGUCCAGGGCUUCACGCAUGCUACAAUGGCUGGUACAGAGAGUGGCGAGCCUGUGAGGGUGAGCGAAUCUCGGAAAGCCGGUCUCAGUUCGGAUUGGGGUCUGCAACUCGACCUCAUGAAGUCGGAGUCGCUAGUAAUCGCAGAUCAGCAACGCUGCGGUGAAUACGUUCCCGGGGCU